UCUCUGCCGAGCGGUGGAGGCGGUGUGCUGUUUUUCAAUUGCCCAAACAGGACGAGACCAGCUGUCCAAUUGCUGACAAGAAUAUCAAAGGGUAGGAAUAGGAAUGUAUCCAAUCAGCGUCGACGUUGUUUCAGAACGUUUCAGAAGCAUGAUGGGCGAUGGAGCUACCGCCAAAGGUUUCGUUGGUGUUCGGUAGAACUCGGCAGAGUCGUUUUUGGUCGUGACGCAGAUGUAACAUGGACGCCGCCGGUGACUACAACCAGCAUGGAUACCGGAUCUCAGCAGCCACUGAAUUCAGUUCGGUCUCUUCUCCAGUAUACGUUCGAGAGGAGAAAUAUGGUGGGAAAACUUAAUGUCAAAGAGCUUGGACCAGAUCAGCCCGACGUAAAGAUAAGCCAGCAGGAGAAGGAGAGAGAUAAGGCAUGGAUGAGUCAGGAGUUACAGACAUGAAACAUUUUUCUAAGAAGGUGAAGAAACACGAGUCAUCCCGGCCACACAUGGACAACAACACGGUGAAGCUAGCCAUGCUAGGCAGAGCUAACGUUGCCAUGCAGGGAACAACAGCAGCUGGGUGCAGAGAGGAUUAAGACUUUCCUUGAGGAACACCAUGACACAGGAUGGGCUGAAUGCUCUUGCCAUGCUCUCCAUGGGAAAAGCUUGUCACUAACAUUCCUGACUUCAAUAAAAAGCUCAUCGAGAGCUUUGCCAUUCAGAAGGACAGAAGGGCAAAAUUUCUGUACAAAUGAGGUAUCACACACUCACACACACACACACACACACACACACACACACACACACACACACACACACACACACACACACAAAUGCAUCCUCUUGAUCUUUGUAUAAAGUUGACCUUGGCACAACACUCCAGAAAUAUUUAACAGUGUAAAUUUCUGGCAUUUUGUCUAAGUGGUGUUUCAUUACUGUAACAGUGACCUGCUCAUAAUUUUUCGUGUUCACUCAAAUGUUGAAAUUAAACAAAAUGUUUUUGUUACUUGCCUCUUGCAUUGCCUAUUUACCAUUUAUGGUCAUGUUAUUUUAUGUGCAAUUUAAUGCAGUAUUUUUCAACCUUGGUCUGCAAGGCAGCGUGCCAAUAGUCAGACACACCUGGAUUAAUCAGUUUGUCCAAUGAUGUAAGACAGGAAAUAAAAGAGCUGUGCUUAAUUCAGGAAAUAGUGAAGUUGUGCACAAAGCUCAGAAAGCACAAGUUAGUUUAAAAAUAAAAAAUAGCACAGCCCCACCAAAAAUAUUUUUCACCAGCCGCCACUGCUCAAAAUGAUAUAAAAUAAACCAAAUGUAUAGUUUUUUAUGUUAAAACACAUUUAUAAACCCACCACUAGUUGAGUUUCUGUUCUUUUUUAAGUUGUCUAUCACUUUAAGCACAGACAGUAACAUAUAGAAGCCCAUUUAAUGUCCAAACAGAACAAAAUAACUUUAUCCUAAUAAUUCAUAAUUAGCUUCAGCCACAUUACCUGUU